AACAGUAUACUUCAAUGGAAAGAACAUUUGAUUUUGAUUUAGAAGUCUUAAGUUCAAAUCUAGAUUCUGUUU
rnacentral:tRNA from 1 species